CCCUACGGGGCGCAGCAGGCGCGAAACCUUUACAAUGCACGAAAGUGUGAUAAGGGGACUCCGAGUGUCGGCAUCUAUGUCGACUGUCCAGAUACCUAAAAAGUAUCUGAUAGCAAGGGCCGGGUAAGACCGGUGCCAGCCGCCGCGGUAACACCGGCGGCUCGAGUGGUAGCCGCUAUUAUUGAGUCUAAAGCGUCAGUAGCCGGUCUGAAAAGUCCUUUGGGAAAUCCUACAGCUUAACUGUCGGGCUUCCAGAGGAGACUAUCGGACUUGAGACCGGGAGAGGUUGGAGGUACUUCAGGAGUAGGAGUGAAAUCCUGUGAUCCCUGGGAGACCACCAGUGGCGAAGGCGUCCAACUGGAACGGGUCUGACGGUGAGGGACGAAAGCUAGGGGCGCGAACCGGAUUAGAUACCCGGGUAGUCCUAGCCGUAAACGAUGUGAGCUAGGUGUCAGUCACACUGCGAGUGUAGCUGGUGCCGUAGGGAAGCCGUGAAGCUCACCACUUGGGAAGUACGGCCGCAAGGCUGAAACUUAAAGGAAUUGGCGGGGGAGCAC
rnacentral:rRNA from 1 species